GACGAACGCUGGCGGCGUGCCUAAUACAUGCAAGUAGAACGCAGUUGCGAACGGGUGAGUAACGCGUAGGUAACUGCCUCAUAGCGGGGGAUAACUAUUGGAAACGAUAGCUAAUACCGCAUACUGUGAGAUGGACCUGCGUUGUAUUAGCUAGUUGGUGAGGUAAAGGCUCAUCAAGGCGACGAUACAGAGCCGACCUGAGAGGGAGAUCGGCUGCACUGGGACUGAGACGCGGGCCAGACUCCUCAGGGAGGCAGCAGUAGGGAAGCUAGGGGAGGUGACGGAAAGCGGACCGAGCGAAGCCGCGUGAGUGAAGAAGGUUUUCGGAUCGUAAGGCUCUGUUGUUAGAGAAGCGGUAAAUAACCAGAAAGGGACGGCUAACUACGUGCCAGCAGCCGCGGUAAUUC
rnacentral:rRNA from 1 species